rnacentral:rRNA from 1 species
AACGAACGCUGGCGGCAUGCCUAACACAUGCAAGUCGAACGAGAUCUUCGGAUCUAGUGGCGCACGGGUGCGUAACGCGUGGGAAUCUGCCCUUGGGUUCGGAAUAACAGUGAGAAAUUACUGCUAAUACCGGAUGAUGUCUUCGGACCAAAGAUUUAUUGCCCAAGGAUGAGCCCGCGUAGGAUUAGCUAGUUGGUGGGGUAAUGGCCUACCAAGGCGACGAUCCUUAGCUGGUCUGAGAGGAUGAUCAGCCACACUGGGACUGAGACACGGCCCAGACUCCUACGGGAGGCAGCAGUGGGGAAUAUUGGACAAUGGGGGAAACCCUGAUCCAGCAAUGCCGCGUGAGUGAUGAAGGCCUUAGGGUUGUAAAGCUCUUUUACCAGGGAUGAUAAUGACAGUACCUGGAGAAUAAGCUCCGGCUAACUCCGUGCCAGCCGCCGCAGUAA